CCCUUAGAUGUUCUGGGCCGCACGCGUGCUACACUGACUGGUGCAACAAGUGUCGCUCCUUGGCCGAUAGGCCUGGGCAAUCUUUGAACGCCAGUCGUGAUGGGGAUAGAUUCUUGCAAUUUUUGAUCUUCAACGAGGAAUUCCUAGUAAACGCGAGUCAUCAACUCGCAUUGAUUACGUCCCUGCCCUUUGUACACACCGCCCGUCGCACCUACCGAUUGAAUGGUCCGGUGAACCCUCCGGAUCGGCCCGCGCCAACGCAAGUUGAGCAAAGGCCGAGAAGUUGGGUAAACCUUACCAUUUAGAGGAAGGUGAAGUCGUAACA
rnacentral:rRNA from 1 species